rnacentral:lncRNA from 1 species
CCCUGAUCAGUCGAAGAAAUCAUCCCCUAAGUGCAUAAUAGAAUUAAGAUAUUUCACAUAGUCCGGGUCAUCGUCUCUUGUAGUCGUUAAGAAUUGCUGAAGAAACGAAAAAUAAAAAUUAGACAUAGAGAUUAAACAUAGAAAUUAAACAUAGAGAUUGAAGAUUACUGCAAAAUUGACAUAUACAUUAUUUUUUAGGAAUAUCAUUUUUUAUAUUCUUUUAAACAAUACUUCCAUUUUCUUUGUGCCUUGUAUUGCACUCUUUUCGGUUUCUUCAUGUUUUCUUCCUCCUAUCUUCUUCUCCUUGGUGUCAUGGAGUGAACCACAUAUGGAGAGAAUCGUUUUCGCUGUCCUUGGAAGAUGUGCAACCAAUUAAUUUUUCUAUGAAAACAAAGAAUUUGCAUAUAAAAAAAAGAGACGCAUAAAACACUCGACGUUAAUUUUUAUGAUAUGUAAAACGCCAUAUACAAGCAACAAUGCACAUUUAAGAAAGCAUUGUUCCUAUGUCAUCUUCAACAACACUUCUUUAAUCUUGCAUUGUGUAAUAGAUGUACUUUAACAGUUCUUCCUAUAUAUUACGUUGUUAAACAUAACAUAUUCAAGUCAGUGCUAACAUCAUUAAUGUUCAACAACAUUUUUUCAAGCCCUUGCUGUUAAAGUUGUAUCAACCUACCCAAAUUGACAGCGCUUGCUUUAAUGUGUGUUGUUGAUGUUCUUCCGCCUCAUUUUUAACGUCAUUCAAGAAAGUGAUGUUGAAUGACCGUUGUUAAUUAUAAUAUCUGGUGUAGUCUAGACAAAUAUUUAAUUAUUAAGUUUUUUACUUCAAUUUAUUUUCAAUCAAUUACAAGUGGGUGAUAUAUGGAGUUGUACAUUUUUUGGAGUAGAAGAUGUGCCGUUAGGCCACAUUAAUGAAUGAUGAAGUCUGUGUGCUUCAUUAAACUUUUGAACAAGACUAUUCUACAUAAAGUUGGGUCUAACAACAAAUAUCCAACACAUACAAGUUUGGUUUUUGCAAUAUGCUGGUGGAAAUCAAAAUCAACCUCCCACAUAUUCUCUUUAUUACUAAUAUUCAUGUUGAAUUAGCUAUGAAUUCUCUUGUUGAAAGUUUUUAUAACAAUGUUCUUACUCCAUCACAACCAUCUACAUAAACACUAUCCCCACCCUUACCAAACUAAAACCAAACACCACCACCACCAAAUAAUCCAAAACUCAUACCAAUAGGAGCCACAUUUCCAAAACCACCCCAAACUCAAUUUCCUUACGGUGAACACUCGACCAUAUAUGAUACAUUUUGAAGUUUAUAUUUAAAAGGAAGAGAAUCAUACAAGAACAAAUAGACACAUAUAUAGAAACUUAGGAUACAAGAACUCGAGUGAAAAUCAUUAUUGUAUAAAAGUUCUAUUUUCUUAGAAGUGGUAGAUUAUGUUUACAGAUUGAAAAUAACAAGACUUUAGCGUUGUUAAUAUUAAGAUAUUUUACUUGUGGAGUCCUAGAAUUCAAUUAUUUAUAUCUUCAUAUCCUCACCUAGUCAAUUUUAAAAGAUAAAACAAAAAACUCUAUUUCAUAUUACAAAAUCUAGAGAGGCUUGGUAGUUAAAGAAUAGGUGGAAAAGUUUCUUGCCUAAUGAGAUUUGUUCAUACAAGAAUACACAUUUGUUAUAUUCUAAAGAGACUUGAUAUAUAAAGAAUACUUGCUUGAAGAUGUGUUGAAUAAUUAUAACUAUUUGGAAAAUAAUGAAAAAUCCUUCUAUGUGAAGGGACUAGACAUAUCUAUUGAGAAUGAACCAUGAUAUCCAUCCAUUUCUAAACUAUUUUCAAAACCUAAUAUAUAGAUACUCUUUAAUAAUCAAAAACCAUAAUUAUAUAAUCAAUAUCGUAAUUCAAAAGUGAUGGUCAUGGUGAAAUACAUGAGAAGAUGAUGAGGGUGUCUUGUCCAAGUCAAUAACUGUAAACUUUAUCAUGGAAACCAUGUGUAAAUGGAUUUUAAAAAAUCAUAGUUUUCACGUAAUAAGAAUGAAUAUAGAUUACCAACCUUUAUUCAUGAUGGCAUGAUCCUCCUUUUGAUGUUAUGUAUUGUUCUUUGUCAACAGAGAAACUCUUCUAUGUCUUUCCCUUUCUUUCUAUGCUCUUCCUUUAUUGAGGGCUAAUAGAACAACCUUUCUGGGAAGAGAAAGAGACAAUGCUUCAAG